UGCAUGCGCGCCUCCCGUUCUGGGCCUUGUACACACCGACCGCCGUGUGCUGGAAUUCGCCCUUAGAGGUUGAUCAGGCCAGGAUAACCAUUGGAAACGAUGGCAAAGACUGGGUAGGAACAGAUGCGGGAUCGCGACUGUUUUAAAAGACCGAAAGGUAUGCUUGAGGAGGGGCCUGCGGCGCACUAGUUAGUUGGAGAGGUAAAAGCUCCCCAAGACGAUGAUGCGUAGCCGGACUGAGAGGUUGAACGGCCACAUUGGGACUGAGAAACGGCCCAAACUCCUACGGGAGGCAGCAGUAGGGAAUUUUCGGCAAUGGGGGAAACCCUGACCGAGCAACGCCGCGUGAAUGAAGACGUAUUUCGGUAUGUAAAGUUCUUUUAUCGAGGAAGAAUGGCGUAAGGCGAACCUUACGAUUGACGGUACUUGAUGAAUAAGCCCCGGCUAACUAUGUGCCAGCAGCCGCGGUAAUACAUAGGGGGCAAGCGUUAUCCGGAAUUAUUGGGCGUAAAGGGUGCGUAGGCGGUCAAUUAAGUCUUUGGUGUAAGUGCAGUGCUUAACGCUGUGAUGCUAAAGAAACUGGUUGACUGGAGUGUGGUAGAGGCAAGUGGAAUUCCAUGUGUAGCGGUGAAAUGCGUAAAUAUAUGGAGGAACACCAGUGGCGAAGGCGGCUUGCUGGGCCAUAACUGACGCUGAGGCACGAAAGCGUGGGUAGCAAACGGGAUUGGAUACCCUGGUAGUCCACGCCGUACACGAUGAGUACUAAGUGUUGGAGAAAUUCAGUGCUGUAGUUAACGCAAUAAGUACUCCGCCUGAGUAGUACGUACGCAAGUAUGAAACUCAGAGGAAUUGACGGGACACCGCACAAGCGGUGGAUCAUGUUGUUUAAUUCGAUGAUACGCGAGAAACCUUACCAGGUCUUGACAUCCCCUGCAACGUG
rnacentral:rRNA from 1 species